rnacentral:rRNA from 1 species
UACGUAGGCAGCAAGCGUUGUUCGGAAUUACUGGGCGUAAAGCGUGCGUAGGUGGUUUGUUAAGUCUGAUGUGAAAGCCCUGGGCUCAACCUGGGAAUUGCAUUGGAUACUGGCAGGCUAGAGUGCGGUAGAGGAUGGCGGAAUUCCCGGUAUAGCAGUGAAAUGCGUAGAGAUCGGGAGGAACAUCUGUGGCGAAGGCGACCAUCUGGACCAGCACUGACACUGAGGCACGAAAGCGUGGGGAGCAAACAGG